UCCCCCGUGAGGGGGCAGUCUCGCCUGACAUAUAAAACAGACAACGAGGGUUGCGUUCGUUACCCCACUGAAGGGAACAACUCAAGCCACGAACUGACGACGACCAUGCAUCACCUGCCCAACUGCCUUGCGGGGGCCAAUGUUUCCAAAGGCUUACAGCUGGGUUUCAAACCCUGGUGAGGUUCUUCGUUUACCAUCGAAUUGAGCCGCAUGAUCCACCGCUUGUGCAAGUCCCCGUCUAUUCCUUUGAGUUUUAAUCUUGCGAUCGUACUACCCAGGCGCCUAACUUAACGCGUUUGCUUCGCCUCACAGAGGGUCGAUACUCCGUAAAGCCAGUUAGGAUCGUUUAGGGCGUGGACUAC
rnacentral:misc_RNA from 1 species